rnacentral:rRNA from 1 species
GAUGAACGCUGGCGGCGUGCCUAAUACAUGCAAGUCGAGCGAACGGACGAGAAGCUUGCUUCUCUGAUGUUAUCGGCGGACGGGUGAGUAACACGUGGAUAACCUACCUAUAAGACUGGGAUAACUUCGGGAAACCGGAGCUAAUACCGGAUAAUAUUUUGAACCGCAUGGUUCAAAAGUGAAAGACGGUCUUGCUGUCACUUAUAGAUGGAUCCGCGGUGCAUUAGCUAGUUGGUAAGGUAACGGCUUACCAAGGCAACGAUGCAUAGCCGACCUGCGAGGGUGAUCGGCCACACUGGAACUGAGACACGGUCCAGACUCCUACGGGAGGCAGCAGUAGGGAAUCUUGCGGAAUGGGCGAAAGCCUGACGGAGCAACGCCGCGUGAGUGAUGAAGGUCUUCGGAUCGUAAAACUCUGUUAUUAGGGAAGAACAUAUGUGUAAGUAACUGUGCACAUCUUGACGGUACCUAAUCAGAAAGCCACGGCUAACUACGUG